AUGGCCUGGGCUCCUCUCCUCCUCUUCCUACUUGCUCACUAUCCAGGCUCCUGGGCACAGUCUGGGCUGACACAGGAAGCAUCGAUGCCAGGGUUUGUGGGGAAGACAGUCACUCUGUCUUGCACUGGAAACAGCAACAAUGUUGGUAGCUUUGGUGCAGGCUGGUACCAACAGAUUCCUGGUGCUGCCCCCAAAACUGUGAUGCUUGGAAAUACUCGACCUUCCGGGAUCCCAGCUCGGUUCACUGGUUCCAGGUCUGGCAACAAGGCCUCUCUAACCAUCUCAGAUAUCCAGCCCGAGGACGAGGCUGACUAUUACUGUUCUGCAUGA